rnacentral:rRNA from 1 species
AGAGUGGCGGACUGGUGAGUAACGCGUGGGUAAUCUACCUUUAGGAUGGGGAUAGCUACUAGAAAUAGUAGAUAAUACCGAAUGUGCUUAUAUGUUAAAUCAUGUAAGGAAAGGGAGCUAAGGCUUUGCCUGAAGAAGAGCUCGCGUCCCAUUAGCUAGUUGGUAUGGUAAGAGCGUACCAAGGCAACGAUGGGUAUCCGACCUGAGAGGGUGAUCGGACACAUUGGGACUGAGACACAGCCCAGACUCC